UACGAAGGGGACUAGCGUUGUUCGGAAUUACUGGGCGUAAAGCGCACGUAGGCGGAUUUGUAAGUCAGGGGUGAAAUCCCGGGGCUCAACCUCGGAACUGCCUUUGAUACUGCAAAUCUCGAGUCCGAUAGAGGUGGGUGGAAUUCCUAGUGUAGAGGUGAAAUUCGUAGAUAUUAGGAAGAACACCCGUGGCGAAGGCGGUGUGCUGGGUUGCAACUGACGCUGAGAUGCGAAAGUGUGGGGAGCAAACGGGG
rnacentral:rRNA from 1 species